CGUGGAUCCGGGCCCAUUGCCAUCUCUGCCGACCACACCGGCACACCCCCGCAACCACUGUUCCCGCCGAUUCGUUUCGUCCCACCGCGCCAAACUGCGACGACGGCGGUCGCAGAGUUGCCUUCCCUCCAACCGUACCGCCGCCGCCGCCGCUGGUGAGUCCCGAAGAUGAGAUCUCUCCCGUUCCUGUGAUUCGAGCGCUUCCCCUUACAGCCGUUGCGCCCCUGCUCCGCUUUGCUUCAGACGAGCA
rnacentral:lncRNA from 7 species